rnacentral:rRNA from 1 species
AGAGUUUGAUCAUGGCUCAGGAUGAACGCUAGCUACAGGCUUAACACAUGCAAGUCGAGGGGCAGCAUGAUUGAAGCUUGCUUCAAUUGAUGGCGACCGGCGCACGGGUGAGUAACACGUAUCCAACCUGCCGAUAACUCGGGGAUAGCCUUUCGAAAGAAAGAUUAAUACCCGAUAGUAUAGUAUUUCCGCAUGGUUUCACUAUUAAAGAAUUUCGGUUAUCGAUGGGGAUGCGUUCCAUUAGAUAGUUGGCGGGGUAACGGCCCACCAAGUCAACGAUGGAUAGGGGUUCUGAGAGGAAGGUCCCCCACAUUGGAACUGAGACACGGUCCAAACUCCUACGGGAGGCAGCAGUGAGGAAUAUUGGUCAAUGGACGAGAGUCUGAACCAGCCAAGUAGCGUGAAGGAUGACUGCCCUAUGGGUUGUAAACUUCUUUUAUACGGGAAUAAAGUGGAGUAUGCAUACUCCUUUGUAUGUACCGUAUGAAUAAGGAUCGGCUAACUCCGUGCCAGCAGCCGCGGUAAUACGGAGGAUCCGAGCGUUAUCCGGAUUUAUUGGGUUUAAAGGGAGCGUAGGCGGGU